UACGUAGGGUGCAAGCGUUAAUCGGAAUUACUGGGCGUAAAGCGUGCGCAGGCGGUUUUGUAAGUCUGUCGUGAAAGCCCCGGGCUCAACCUGGGAAUUGCGAUGGAGACUGCAAGGCUUGAAUCUGGCAGAGGGGGGGUAGAAUUCCACGUGUAGCAGUGAAAUGCGUAGAGAUGUGGAGGAAUACCGAUGGCGAAGGCAGCCCCCUGGGAUAACACUGACGCUCAUGCACGAAAGGCGUGGGGAGCAAACAGG
rnacentral:rRNA from 1 species